AUUGAACGCUGGCGGCAGGCCUAACACAUGCAAGUCGAACGAGUGGCGGACGGGUGAGUAAUGUCUGGGAAACUGCCUGAUGGCGGGGGAUAACUACUGGAAAAGGUAGCUAAUACCGCAUACCCUCAGAUGUGCCCAGAUGGGAUUAGCUAGUUGGUGGGGUAAAGGCUCACCUAGGCGACGAUCCCUAGCCGGUCUGAGAGGAUGACCAUGCAUCCUGGAACUGAGACACGGUCCAGACCCGGACGGGAGGCAGCAGUGGGGAUGAUUGCACAAAGGGCGCAAUCCACAGGCAGACAUGCCGCCUGUAUGAAGAACGCCUUCGGGUUGUAAAGUACUUUCAGCGGGGAGGCGUUGCCCGAAGAAGAAGCACUGGAUAACUCCGUGCCAGCAGCCGCGGUAAUUC
rnacentral:rRNA from 1 species